AAAAAAGUAAAUGUUGCACUAAAAAGUAAUUUUUUAAUUUUUAUUUUAUGUUCGGGGAUACACGUGCAGGUUUGUUAUAUAGGUAAACUCAUGUCAUGGGGGUGUGUAUACAGAUUAUUUUAUCACCCAUGGACUAAGCCUAGUACACAAUAGUUAUUUUUUCUGUUCCUCUCCCUUCUCCCAUCCUCCACCCUCCAGCAGGCCCCAGUGUCUGUCGUUCCCCUUUUUGUGUCCAUGUAUACUCAUUAUUUAGUUCCCACUUAUAAGUGAGAAAAUGCGGUGGUUGGUUUCAUAUUCCUGUGUGAGUUUGCUAAGAAUAAUGGUCUCCAGCUCCAUCCAUGUCCCUGCAAAGGACAUGAUCUCAUUCUUUUUAUGUCUUCAUAGUAUUUCAUGGUGUAUACAUAGUACAUUUCGUUUAUCCAGUCUACCAUUGAUGGGUAUUUAGGUUGACUCCACGUCUUUGCUAUUGUGAAGAGUGCUACAGUGAACUUACAUGUGCAUGUGUCUUUUUGACAGAAUCAUUUGUAUUCCUUUGGGUAUAUAUCCAGUAGUGAGAUUGCUGGGUUGAAUGGUAGUUUGGUUUUUAGCUCCUUGAAGAAUCACCACACAGCUCUCCGCAGUGGUUGAACUACUUUCCACUCCCACCAGCAGUGUAUAAGCGUUCUCUUUUCUCUGCAUCUUCGUCAGCCUCAGCAUUUGCUAUUUUUUGACUUUGUAAUAAUAGCCAUUCUGACUGGUGUGAGAUGGUAUCUCAUUGUGGUUUUGAUUUGCAUUUCUCUAAUGGUCAGUGAUGUUAAGCUUUUUUUUUUCACAUGCUUUUUGGCCGCCUGUAUGUAUGCCUUGUCUUGAAAAAUGUCUUAAUGGGAUUGUUUGUAUAUUUUAGAUAAAUUUGUUUAAGUUCCUUAUAGAUGCUGGAUAGUAGACCUUUGUCAGAUCCAUAGUUUGUAAAUACUUUCUCCCAUUCUAUAGGUUUACUAUUUACUCUGAUGAUAGUUUAUUUUGCUGUGCAGAAGCUCUUUUGUUUAAUUAGAUCCCAUUUGUCAAUUUUUGUUUUUGUUGUCAUUGCUUUUGGCGUCUUCAUCAUGAAAUCUUUGUCCAUUCCUAUGUCCAGAAUGGUAUUGCCUAGCUGGUCUUCUGGGGUUUUUAUAGUUUUUGGUUGUAACUUAAAUCUUUAAUCCAUCUUGAGUUGACUUUUGUGUAUGGUGUAAGGAAGGGGUCUAGUUUCCAUCUUCUGCAUAUGGCUAGCCUGUUAUCCCAGCACCAUUUAUCGAAUAGAGAGUCCUUUCUCCAUUGCUUGUUUUUGUCAGCUACAUUGAACACCAAAUUGUUGUAGAUGUGUGACCUUAUUUCUGGGCUCUCUACUCUGGACCAUUGGUCUAUGUGUCUGUAUUUGUACCAGUACCAUCCAGUACCAUGCUGUUUUGGUUAUUAUAGCCCUACAAUAUAGUUUGAGUCAGGUAGUGUGAUGCCUCCUGCUUUGUUCUUCAUGCUUAGGAUUGCCUUAAAUAUUUGGACUCUUUUGGUUCCGUAUGAAUUUUAAAGCAAAACUUUCUAUUUCUGUAAUGAAUGUCUUUAGUAGUUUGGUAGGAAUAGCAUUGAAUCUGUAAAUUGCUUUGGGCAGUAUCACCAUUUUAAUGAUAUUGAUUCUUCUUAUCCAUGAUCAUGGAAUUUUUUUCAUUUGUUGAUGUUAUCUGUGAUUUGUUUGAGCAGUGCUUUAUAAUUCUCAUUGUAGAGAUCUUUCUGUGCUCGCUUCACUAGCACAUACACAAACAUUGGAACAGUAUGGAGAAGAUUAGCAUGGCUCCUGCACAAGGAUGAGAUCUUUCUCUUCCCUAGUUAACUGUAUUCCUAGAAAGUUUCAGAAAGGUGAUGAAAUUUAAGCUGGGCUUUAAAGGCUACAUCAAAUUUGACAAAUGGAAUUGUGAGGAAAGCACAUUAGAAGUAAAGAGUGAACCCACAAAAACAAGAGAACAUCAUGUUUCUAGAGGCUGCCUGCAUUCCUUGGCUAAUGACUUUGCAUCACUCUGACGUCUUGCUCCCAUGGUCGUAUCACCUACUACUGGCCCUGAUCUCACUACUUGUUAUAUGGAACAAAGGGAUAAGGAAGUGACUUGCCUAAGUCACUGAGGAACCUAAUAUUGAGAUUAGCACUCAAUGAUUCCUGGCUCUCAGAAUGUGUGCUGCUACCACCAGGCCACACUCUUCCCUCCAGAGAGAAGAUGUGUCAGCACGGAAUUGUGCUGAAGCAAAGAUGUGAAAUAGAAUGAUUACAUAUCUACCUAGUGGGAAGAUCUGGGGAAGAAUCUAUCAGUGCUGGCAGAGAAGCAAACCAUACGACAUCACUCAUCCCCAGAAAGUGAAGUUAAGGGAAAUAAAAAACAAUCUACACCAUUUAGAAAACACAGCCACCCCAUACCCUUGGAAAAAAUACACUAAAAUAUCUUCAUCUGAUUUGACCUCUAAUAACAUGAAUAAUUGUCUUAUAACUCACUUUCUUACCUCUUGAUUAUUCUACAGAUCCGGCACAUAUGAGCAAAAUCUGAUGAAAUUCACUCAUUUAAUUUGAAGAUUUUAAUUAUGUAGAAAAAGUAGGUUCGCAUUCUUUCUUAUUAAUAGAGUUCAAAAGACUUAAGGCCUAGAGUCUAGCUUCAGCUAUUAAAAUUAUACAUCAGCAUGUGUUUCUCCUUUAUUAAGCAAUGAUUCGUUAUACCUUUCCCCUUAGAGGACACCCACACUUCUUUAAAAAUAAGUUGGGCGAACAUCGACUGUGAAUGUGUUUUUGUUUUCCUAAUAUAAUAUCAGUGGGAGUUGUACACACAGAUCAGGAGCUGUA
rnacentral:lncRNA from 1 species